rnacentral:lncRNA from 1 species
GUACCGGAGAAAAACAAAACAAAAAAUAAUAAUAAUAAUAAUAAGUAUGUCUUUUACCUCGUGACUCGCCUCAAGCUGCUCUCCCUCUGCUCUUCCUCAACAACCACUGGCAACUUCUGCACCAUGCCCACCAAGUGCCCCGGGACUUGCGCACCUUUAUUUGGUACCUGUGCCAUAUCUCUGCAUUUAUCAUUAGGGUAUAAUGAGGAGGACCACCAGUUCCAGUCUGGCAUUUACUACUGCCCCUGAUAAGUGAAAAUGUUAGUUAAUCAGGUAAGUGUUAGGCAAUUACUUACCCCGGUGAAUUAAUUAGAGUAACAUAUCUGUUUCCAGUGCAGGUUUUGUCAGCCAAUGACCUUGGUCCUGAGACAGUGCCAAAUGGUGCCAGGUAAGCUGUACAGGCUCUGUACACCAACUCCCUCAGACAUUCAGAUGGAUGGUCAUCACUUGAGUGAAACUCAAAACAGUCAUACUUAGUCUAUAAAAAUAGAGCGUGAAUUAAUGUCUUCUGAGCAAUCUAAUGCUACUCUUCCCAGUUUCAGUGUUCUGAAGGCUCAGUCUGACUCUUACGGCAGGUUAUUUCUUGACUUUUUUUUUUUUUUGAUAGACUACUUUGCAAAAGGCCAGUCACCUCAGCAGCUGGGGAAAGGUUUUAUUUUUAGAAAGCAGGCACACAGGAGUACACAAGGCCAACUCAGGGUCAGCCACAGGGUGUUUUGCCAAAAAGGCUGUGGGCCAGCAGGGCCGUGUGACUCAGCCCAGCCUUGUGGUCAGGAGGGUCCUGCACCAGCCCAUCAGAUCUACGCUCCUCCACAACGUCUGGACUUCGAAGAUACACUUCACUUCCCCCUUCCUCCCCGCAGUGCCUCUCAUCCCAUGGAGGAGUAGCAAGAUAUUUACCUGGAAGGCCUCAUGGGUUGGGAGAAAGAUGCAUCAGAAGAUCAUGUGCCAAGGCAGGUGGGCAGUGCUCCUACUACAAUUCACCUGGACAGAACGGACACAACAGGGCUCACGCUCAGGUUUCACCCAUGGAAAUAGACAUGAAUAGCACUGCACUGGUGAGCUGUAGUAGAUUUUUUUCUAGGUAAGAUUUGUUCAUUCAUAGUUAUCCUCUCCAAAAGCUCAGAUUCUUAAUAAAUAAAUAAGUAAUUAAAUAAAUAAAAUCUUCUGCAACGUGCUGGUAGCACAGAACUGUCAGAAUUUUUUCCCUAUUUCCUUUUCCUGGAUCUGACUGAGAAAUGACCAUUAAUUCUAAUGUACUCACAAAGUACACAAAAUCCUCUCCUGAUUUAUUAAUUCC